CUGUCAUGAGAGGGGGAAGAAUUGAGGAAGUAGACAGCAGAUAAGGCUGGGAAAUAUAUUCUCUUUCUGAGAAAAAAAUAAUUUUCAGAGAUGGCAUCUUUCUAUGUUACCCAGUCUGCGGAUCAGUGGCAAUUCACUCUUCACAGCGACCAUGGCACUACUGAUCAGCACGAGACUCAGAGUUUCUUCUCAAAUGUACACUGAUAAAUACUCAACUGAAGAUUCAACUGAAAUCCUCUAUGGGUCUCCAGACUCCCCCAUUCUGG
rnacentral:lncRNA from 10 species